AGCGCGGGUGCGAGUCGGAGGGUGCAAGCCCGUGGGCGAAGUGAAAGCGAGUUUAAAAACGAGCAGUUUGGGGCGGCAUAAGAUCGUUGAUCUUAAGACCGACCCAGAGCAGUUGCGCUGGGACCCGAAAGAUGGUGAACUAUGCCGGAGUAGGGCAAAGCCAGAGGAAACUCUGGUGGAGGCUCGUAGCGGUGCUGACGUGCAAAUCGCUCGUCGAACUUGGGUAUAGGGGCGAAAGACUAAUCGAACCAUCUAGUAGCUGGUUCCCUCCGAAGUUUCUCUCAGGAUAGCGGGCCGACAAGUUGUUUUGUGCGGUAAAGCGAAUGAUUAGCGCAAUUGGGGGCGUCAAGCCUUCGGGCGAUUCUCAAACUUUCAAUGCGCAAGGGUGCCGCUGCUUAAUUGAGCGGUACCGGUAAAAACGUCGGCCCUGUGGGCCACUUUUGGUAAGCAGAACUGGCGAUACGGGAUGAACCGUAAGCAAGGUUAAGGCGCCAAACUGCCCGCUUAUAGACCCCACAAAAGGUGUUGAUUCAUCGAGACAGCAGGACGGUGGCCAUGGAAGUCGGAAUCCGCCAAGGAGUGUGUAACAACUCACCUGCCGAAUGAAUUAGCCCUGAAAAUGGAUGGCGCUGAAGCGGGCGGCCGACACCUUGCCGUCUGGACAAGAAUUUCAGAUGAGUAGGAGGGCGUGGCGGUCGUGUCGAAGCACGCGUGCAGACGCUUGUGGAACGACCGCUAGUGCAGAUCUUGGUGGUAGUAGCAAGUAUUCAAGCGAGAUCCUUGAAGGGCGAAGUGGGGAAGGGUUUCACGCGAACAUUGAUUGGGCGUGAGUGAGUCGUUCCUAAGCCGAGUGGCAAUUGCUAAUUAACGGCGAAAGGGAAGCGGGUUGACAUUCCCGCACACGGAUGUGGAGGCGGCGACGCAUUAUUGGGGCGAACACGCUGGCGAUGGCGCUGGGCAGAGUUGUCUUUUCUGUUUGACCACUUGCGCACGCAGUGUGGAAUCCUCUUAUAGGGAGAAACACGCGUGUACGGGCAGAGCGCUGGGGCUUUUCCAGCGUCCAGCUCGCCAUCGACGGCCCUUGAAACUUUGCCUGCUG
rnacentral:rRNA from 1 species